AGGUGGGAAGUAGGACGCGCACCGCACCGCCUCACCGCCAGAGCCCCACCACCUAAUCACCCUACUACGUCACCACUGGAAAGAUUAUAUAAGAGAUACCUACUGUUUCCAGAAUCAUCCUUGUUCUUUCUUACUGACCCACCCCAGCCCCAGCUCCAGCCCAAGGAGUGGCUCGGAGAUGUGUCUAUAGCCUAUACCCGAAGAAUGAAGGAACACACAGAGAAAUUUCAUUGCUCUUCACAACCGAAAUUAUUAAGAUAAUGAUUUCAUAGCAAAAAGGCUUUCGCAACAAAAUAAAUUUUGUCGCCUAUACCAUAUUGGUAAAUGUCUUUGGCAACAAAUUUGACUUUUGUAAUGCAAGAUAACGUUUUGCGAUGAUAGAAACAAGAUAUAGCUAUAAAAAUAUGAUUUUGUAGCUAAAGUUUUUUCGCUAUAAAAAUAAAAUUUCAUUUAAAAAAAUAAGAAGGAUUUUAACAACAAAAUAUACAUGAUUUUUGUAGUCAAAUGGUUUUACCUAUGAAAAUAUGAUUUUGUACUUGAAACUCUUGUGCUAUGAAAAUAAGAUCUUUGUAGCAAAAGAAUUUUAGGGACACAAAUAAUUUUAUAGUACAUAAUUAUUUUUAGCGACAAAAUUAAUUUUUGUAGUUGAAUGACACUUUCUAACUAUGAAAAAUAUUCGGUAGUUACAAAAUUCACAGAAAGGAGAAAGAUCCAAGCACAUGAGGGCAAAGGUAAUAGUUUCUCAUGGUUGCCUUCACGAUUCUCAUUAUUUCUUCCAAUUCCAUGUAUGGGUACAUACAAACAUAAUACAUUACAUUUACCUCACUAUGAAAUAGGAUCCCAGUCAUGGAUGUUGCUUUAGUACUAGUUGUGGAGAAACAUACAAGAAUUUUAAUAAUGGUUGGCCACAAGUGAAUGUCAAUAAUCAAAUCAUCAAUGAUCAUUGAGUCUGCAACAAGUCUUACUGUAAAAAUGUCAUUAACUUAGUUGAAACUUUUGAGAGCCAAUUGAAAUGUGGGACAAAUGAAAAUCCUGCCUCAAAUGCUAGCAAUAACAGUUUAAAAUAUUUCUUCAGUAGAACUUAUCUUUGACGAUAUCCCAUCUCAAUAGCUCUUUGAAUCAAGUAUAUGACGAAGAGAAGAGUCUAAAUCAUUCUCUAAUGCACCUACCUUUUCUAGGUAAUUUUUUUUUUUACUUCUUUUCUUUUUUAUGAUUAUCAGAUCUCAUAAGAAAAAUUAUAAUUACUUCAUAAUAUCUAUUCCUUUUAUUCCUUGAAAAGAUGUUAUUGUUGACCAGAAAAUCUUUAGGCUUUUCCAUGAUUCAGUAUCCUUAAUAUAUUUAAUUUAAAGCGAAGAUGGGUGUAAUUACAUUUCAAAAUUGAAGGGUUAUGAAAGCUAGCCCAAACAGUGACCUUUGUAUUGUGGAGUUACAAUUUCCCCAUAUGGAGGCCUAAAAUGAGACUUUGUUGAUGAUGAGUUUUAAAGCAAAUUUAACAAAGAUUCUACAGCUUGUGAUCUGAUGAAAGAUGAAUAAUAUAUGUAGGUACAUAGGCAAGCCACUGCAAUCUCGCAACUAUAUCUUACCAAUAAAUUGCAAUCAACACAAAAAUCAAGGAUCAUGAAAUCAGUUCUACCAGAUAAGUAUGCAAUCAAAACCCUGUAGUUGUUUUUUUUUUUUUUUUUAGUGAAUAGUUCACGCAUAUGAGAUAGCAAUAUUUUGUGUAAGCUUCUAAGUUUUUGCUUUGGACUUUUUCCAUGUUGAUUUAUUUUUGGUUUAGAUUCUUUUGAGUUUCACCUAGUGCGGUGGUGGGAUGAUACUCUACUCUACCUUUUUGUGGUUUUGGUGAAUUUGUAUAAAAUUUACUUUCUAGAGUAUUUUUUUUAAGCUUGAUUGUGGUGAAAUGGGUUAAUUGUGGUGUAGUAAAUUUCUUUAAACAUAUUACUAUGUAUAAAUAUUGAACCUUGAUGGAAAGUUGGGGUCAACGUUACGCGUAAAUGUUUUGGGAGGUAAUGGUUGUCCUAUACAUGCGAUCUAAAUAUUUAUCUACACGGUGUAUAGUUAAUGCAGUAUGCCUAAACUUCAUACAUGUUCAUGUUUUUUCAAUAAUUUUUAUUAUUUUGUUUACUUUUUAUAAAUGCGAUUCCAAUAUAUGUAUAUUUUUGUUAACUUGGUUUGAAUGUGAUUCCAACAAUAUUUCAAUUUGUUUUAUAUAUAAUUAAUUACAACAAUUUAUAAGAUUAUUGUUGGUUUAUUAUAGGUUGCAAUUGGAGAUGGAGUAUUUAAAGUCUACUAAGUUUGUGUAAAAGAUAAAUUUAGAAAAUCAGACCCUGAAUUCAUGCUCUUGGGUUAUUAUCUCCUAUUUAAGGGUUAGGGUGAGCUUGGAAUGAUAAGGCCUGAAUCAUAUGAUCUAUACACUGACUGAAUUUAACCAUGAGCUCGGAAUGGCCCUGAAGUCAAUGGCCUCUUCUCAUGCUUCGUAUUCAAAAGUCACACGUCCUAUCUUGAACAUUUCUACCAAGUUCAUUCUUUUUGUACCUAUUUCAUCUCUAAUGGCUAGCAUUUAAUGCCUAAUGAUCAAUAUUUUUUUUCUAUCAGGCUCUAUAAAUUCAACAACAACAAUAAUAGAAUCUUAACUUUUUUUAGCUUUGCUCGAAUAUGAUUUCGGUUGCGUUUUAAUAGAUGAUGGCUAUAUAUAACACAACUAAAAUCACAUUAGAGCAAAGCCAAAAAGGUUAGAAAAUUCUAUUAUUGUUUCUGCUAAAUGAUAUUACAUAGCCUGAUGGAGAAAAAUAUUGAGCAAUAGGCAUUAUAUGUUGGCCAUUAAGGAUGAAAUAGGUAUAAAAAGAAUGAACUUAGAAGAAAUAUUCAAUAUAGGAUGCAUGCCUUAUGAAUAUGAAGCAUGAGUAGAGGCAAUUUACUUGAGGGCCAUUCUAAGCUUAUGGUUAGAUUCAAUCAGUGUCUAGAUCAUAUAAUUCGGGCCUUAUCAUUUCUAGCUCUCCUUGAUCCUUAAACACAAGAUAAUAAACCAUGAGCAUGAAUUCAGGGUCCGAGUCUCUAAAGUUUCAUAAAUACAAUCUUAGUAGACUUUGAAUAUUCCAUCUUUGAAAUGCAACAUAAAUACAACUGUAGUAUAGAAAAAACCAACAACAAUCUCAUAAAUUGUAAUAAUUAAUUAUAUCUACAAAAAAAUGAAAUAUUGUUGGAAUCACAUUCAAACACAGUUAACAAAAAACCAUUUCUCUGAGAAACUCCGAAAACACAAUAAGAAGGAACAUGAUGGAGUUUAGGCCGGUUGCAUUAACUAUACACCGUGUAGAAUAUUUAGAUCACAUGAAUAGGAAAAUUAUUACUUCCAUAUAAACAUUUACGCACAGCCCUGUCCCCAACUUUCCAUCAAGCUUCCAUAUUUAUAUAUAGUAUUUUUUAAGAUAUUCAUUUUUACCUCAAUCAAGCUUAAAAACAAUACUCUUGAAAGUAAAUUUACACAAAUUCAUCAAACCAACAAAUGUACAAUAGAGCAUCAUCCCAUUAUCGCACAAUGUGAAACUCAAAGAAUCUAAACCAAGGAUAAAUUGACAACAUGGAAAAAAGUCCAAAGCACGCAAGUAAAAGCAUACAAAAAAUAUUGCUAUUUCAUAUACAAGAACUAUUUAUCGAAAUAAAAUCAAACAAACAACUAGAAGGGUUUGAUUGCAUACUUGUCAGUUAGAAUUGAUUUCAUAAUCACUGAUUCUUGUGUAGAUUACAGUUUCUUGGUGAUGUUGACUUGUAGGACUGUCGUGACUUGUCUAUGUACCUUUGAAUUAGUUAUUAUUCAUCACAUCACAUGUUGUAGAAUGUUUGUUAAACUUGCUUUAUAACUCAUCCAAAAACUAAAAACAAACUCUAAUUUUAGGCCCCAAUCUGGGAAAUUCUAUCUCCAAACUACAUAGGUCACAGUUUGGGUUGGCCCUUCAUAUUCCUUAUUUGAGAUGUAAAUUACACCCCUCUUCAAUUUUAUUUAAAAAUAUUAAGGAUAGUGAGCUAUGGAAAAGCCUAAAGCUUUUGUCGAAAUAUAAUAUCUUUUCAAGGUACACAGAGGUAAGAUUUUGCAUAGUAUUUGGAAAUUUUCUUAUGAAAUAUGACGAUCAUAAAAUAGAAAAGAAGUAAGAAAAAAAUUAGUAAUGGCAAAUGUAUUAGAGAAUGAUUUAGCUACUUUUUUUCACCAUCUACUUGGUUCAGAGAGCUAUUGGGAUUAGAUCACCUCAAAGAUAAGUCCAACAGGGGAAAUAUAUAUUAAACUUGUUAGUGCUAGCAUAUGAGCCAAGCUUUUCAAUUGUUCCACCUUUCAACUAGCUCUCAAAUGUUCCAACCAAGUCCAUGACAGUUUUUAAAAAAGACUUGUUGGAAACACAAUGGUCAUUAAUACUUUAAUUAUUGGCAUUCACUUCUGGCUGACCAUCAUAAAAUUUCUUGUAUGUUGUUUCACGACAAGUAUUUAUAGCAGCAACCACAGGUGGGGAUCCUAAUUCAUAAUGAACAAAAUGUAGUGUAGUACCUAUGUACGUACCCUUACAUGGCACUAGAAGGAAUAAUGAGAAUCAUGAAGGCAACAAUGAGAAAUUAUUACCUCCACCAUCAUGUGCUUGGAUUCUUUUUCGUUAGUGUGAAUUUUGUAACUAUAAGAUCACUAUAAAAAAAUAUUUAAUUAGCUACAAUAUUUUUAACUAUGAAUAUAUAUUCAUAGUUAAAAAGUGUUAUUCAACUACCAAAUUUAAUUUUGUUGCUAAAACUAAUUAUUUACUAAAAAUUUAAUUUUUUUUCGCUAAAAUUGUUUUUCUAAGAAAUCUUAUUUUCAUUGCUAAAACCAUUUGGCUAGAAAUAUCAGCCAUUAUUGUUGUUAAUUUCUUUUUUAUUAUUAUAGCGAAAGAGUUUUUGCUAAGAAAUCAUAUUUUCGUAAAUAUAUCUAAUUUUCAAAGGAUUAUCUUGCAUUACAAAAGUCAAAGUUGUUGCCAAAGACAUUUACCAACACGGUACAAGAAAUUAAACUCAUUUCCUCGCAAAAGGCUUUUUUUCUAAAAAAUCAUUAUCUUUUGCUACAAUUUUUUUUUAGCUGAAUUUCAACUUUUUUGUAGUGUAUAGACAUCUUGAUGCCCUUGGUUGAGAGGGGUGAAAACACUAAUUUUGUACAUGUUUUCCUAGUGAUUUCUAUAAGCAUAUCUUGCAAUUUUAUACUGAACUUGUCAUAACCUAUGCCAAAAUGCCUUGCUAAAUGUGUUUUACAUCAUUCUUCUAUGAUUUGAUACGCAUUGGUAGUUUUGAAGUGUUUCAGAUGCAAGAUGAGGAAAAAUAUGAAAAAAAAGGGAAUGUGUGCUGAAAUUAAUCCUGAAUGCAUGAGAAAUAUGUGAGCCAAUUUUUUCUGAUACCUAAUCACAAUUCAGAAGUUGUUUGAGAUGCAAAGUUUUGUGAGAACUCAUCUGAAGGAUUGGACGGUGGAGAAUCAAUUUGCAGCUGUCAAUGGCAACCUCCAUCUUCUAGAAGCUUGGCCGACACCUAUAAAUAGGAUCCAAUUCGGAGCUCAUUUCUCAAGAUUUCACAAUCUAAAAUUCGUAUCUAUUUCAGAAAGAGCUCAAGUUGUAAGUAACUCUGGACGCUACAAGUGGGUGGUCAGCAACACUCGUAACAUGAGUCGCAUGCUCGCCACCCAUCCUAUUUAAUUUCUAUAUUUAGAUAAAUUUACAAGCUUUAUAAUAUAAAACACAAGAUAAAUUUGUAGUUUAAAUCGCCACGUUACACUCAUAAUGUAAUUGCAACAUUCAGAUUAUUUAAUUUCUAGGUAAUGAAAUACUAUAAUUUCUCCAUCACACUAUUAUUCCUGGAUGACAUAUACUACAGUUAAAUACUCACGAAGUACCUUAAACAAUAUAACUAAAACAUGAAUAUAAGUCAUUUAACCAAAUUUACCUAGAUUAAUAUGAAAGGAAAUCACGGUGCUAGGUAGACUCAGGACUCUCACAAAAGAGACCUUUUGAACGCAAUUUGGCUUAGAAAAUAUAGUAAAAAAGCAAGUGGUGAACUGAUCAAUUGAUUCAUUAGUUGGGAGUGUCGAUGAGAAUUGCUUGCAGGGAAGUGAAAUAUGAAUAUAGAAAUGGAUUAUCAGCUCAAUAAUCAACAUUUAAUUUGUCUUUCCAAUGUACCUAAAGACUAGAAAAAUCUUAGAAUUUUUCACUUUAAUUAUGUACUCGCAUUUAAAUUGAGAAUUACAUUCAAUGCAUCUUCAAUUCAAGUCUUGAGUCAUAUGCUCGCAUUCAUCCUUACUCAAAUUUUCCCUUACACUUUUGCCUGAGUUCGACUCGGCAUUCACCGGUUAAC